rnacentral:rRNA from 1 species
AACGAACGCUGGCGGCACGCCUAACACAUGCAAGUCGAGCGCUUCACUUCGGUGAGGAGCGGCGGACGGGUUAGUAACGCGUGGGAACAUACCCUUUUCUAAGGAAUAGCCACUGGAAACGGUGAGUAAUACCUUAUACGCCCUUCGGGGGAAAGAUUUAUCGGUGAAGGAUUGGCCCGCGUUAGAUUAGUUUGUUGGUGGGGUAAUGGCCUACCAAGACUACGAUCUAUAGCUGGUUUGAGAGGAUGAUCAGCAACACUGGGACUGAGACACGGCCCAGACUCCUACGGGAGGCAGCAGUGGGGAAUCUUAGACAAUGGGCGCAAGCCUGAUCUAGCGAUGCCGCGUGAGUGAUGAAGGCCUUAGGGUCGUAAAGCUCUUUCGCCAGGGAUGAUAAUGACAGUACCUGGUAAAGAAACCCCGGCUAACUCCGUGCCAGCAGCCGCGGUAAUACGGAGGGGGUUAGCGUUGUUCGGAAUUACUGGGCGUAAAGCGUACGUAGGCGGAUCAGAAAGUAAGGGGUGAAAUCCCAGGGCUCAACCCUGGAACUGCCUCUUAAACUCCUGGUCUUGAGUUCGAGAGAGGUGAGUGGAAUUCCAAGUGUAGAGGUGAAAUUCGUAGAUAUUUGGAGGAACACCAGUGGCGAAGGCGGCUCACUGGCUCGAU